rnacentral:rRNA from 1 species
AGGUAACGGCUUACCAAGGCAACGAUGCAUAGCCGACCUGAGAGGGUGAUCGGCCACACUGGAACUGAGACACGGUCCAGACUCCUACGGGAGGCAGCAGUAGGGAAUCUUCCGCAAUGGGCGAAAGCCUGACGGAGCAACGCCGCGUGAGUGAUGAAGGUCUUCGGAUCGUAAAACUCUGUUAUUAGGGAAGAACAUAUGUGUAAGUAACUGUGCACAUCUUGACGGUACCUAAUCAGAAAGCCACGGCUAACUACGUGCCAGCAGCCGCGGUAAUACGUAGGUGGCAAGCGUUAUCCGG